AAAAAAUAAUAAUAAUAAUAAUAAAAUAAUAAUAAAUAAAAAAAAAAGGCAGCAUUACUGUUUUUCCACAUGAAUCAGUUUCUUGGCCACAGUAAGUGUCCUGCAAUGUAUUAUCAGUUUUAUCAAAAGGAGACCUUAAACCUUUCAUUUAAAACCUGAAUGUUUAGUAUCAAGCCAACAAACUUAUAAUGCCAAAACCCAAGCAAGUCUGGGUUGGACUGACCUGAAGCAAAAUUCUGAGCUUCACAUUUCCCAGAGGGAAUGUUUUGUGUUUAUUAUUAUUUUUAUUAACUUAUUUUAGUAACAUUGAAAUUUAUUUAUGAAAAAAUGAACAGUACACUGACAAAAAUGGCUCAUGUGGUCUCAUGUACACCAUGUGUGAAGUGCCCAGGCACUAGAUUUAGACUACUAGACUGGUUAUUUCCCUCUGGACAUUACGUCAGCAAACAGCCCUGAGACAGUCCCCUUUGUGGCAGAAUGAUGCUGCAAUAUGUAAGUAAUGAAAGCAGUCAUUGUUAGGAAACCUGCAAGAAUAUAUAUGAGAAGACACAAGUUAUGACCUAUUUCCAGUAGGCUCUGAGCGAUGUACUAUUUCACGUCUGUCUUAUUUAAAAUGUUUCAUGUCAGUGCUGGCGUCAAUAAGAAAAAGAUACUUACAGAACUUUAACAUUUCUUCUUUCAAUUCUUCAUGAUCAACAACAACAGGAACAAAAUGUUCUUUUGGUCCUUAAUAUUUUGAGGGUGUGCAACUCUCAAUAAGAAAAUAGAUUGGAUAAUAGAAAAUUAAAAAUGAAGAAUAAGAGAGAGAAAGAGCUGGAAAGAAGUAUUUAUGUAAAAGAAGAUGACAGAGAAGACAUCAAUAGACAGGAGUGUUGGGAAAGCCAGACUGGAGUAACAAUUAGUGACAGUCAUAUUUGACUUGUUUUUGUUUGAAGUCUAUCUUUAUUACCUUCUUUAAAAUUUGGGCAUGGCAAAAAUACACACAGAUUAAAACAACAACAACAAAGUGAAAAAAAAAUGGCUACUGUCUGUCAGUAAAAGUAGAAAUUUUCUGCUUUUGAUUAAUGGUAGCUUUGGAAGAGUUAUGUUUUUAUUUUCCUUUUCUUCUUUUUUAAUGAGUUUAUGUCAGCUUGUAUAUGCCAGCAGUAUUUCAAAGAAACAAGGUUUUAUUUCCCCUUAGCCAAAAUAUGACUAAAUAGUUUAUGAGCCAAAAUAUUAUAAGCUUUCUCCUGAUCUUAUCUUUCCUACUUGCCCUCAUACCUUAGAUAAUCAAAAUAUUUUUUUUUAUUGUUAAGUAAGAAAUAAAUUAUAAAAAAAAAAAAAACA
rnacentral:lncRNA from 1 species